UACGGAGGGUGCGAGCGUUGUCCGGAAUCACUGGGCGUAAAGGGCGCGUAGGCGGCCUGAUAAGUAGGGGGUGAAAUCCUGCGGCUUAACCACAGGGCUGCCUUCUAGACUGUCAGGCUAGAGCACAGUAGAGGCAGGUGGAAUUCCCGGUGUAGCGGUGGAAUGCGUAGAGAUCGGGAAGAACAUCAGUGGCGAAGGCGGCCUGCUGGGCUGUUGCUGACGCUGAGGUGCGAAAGCGUGGGGAGCAAACAGG
rnacentral:rRNA from 1 species